rnacentral:rRNA from 1 species
CGUUAGUACGGCGAGUGAGCGGUAAAAGCUCAAAUUUGAAAUCUGGUACUUUCAGUGCCCGAGUUGUAAUUUGUAGAAUUUGUCUUUGAUUAGGUCCUUGUCUAUGUUCCUUGGAACAGGACGUCAUAGAGGGUGAGAAUCCCGUUUGGCGAGGAUACCUUUUCUCUGUAAGACUUUUUCGAAGAGUCGAGUUGUUUGGGAAUGCAGCUCAAAGUGGGUGGUAAAUUCCAUCUAAAGCUAAAUAUUGGCGAGAGACCGAUAGCGAACAAGUACAGUGAUGGAAAGAUGAAAAGAACUUUGAAAAGAGAGUGAAAAAGUACGUGAAAUUGUUGAAAGGGAAGGGCAUUUGAUCAGACAUGGUGUUUUUUGCAUGCACUCGCCUCUCGUGGGCUUGGGCCUCUCAAAAAUUUCACUGGGCCAACAUCAAUUCUGGCAGUAGGAUAAAUCAUUAAGAAUGUAGCUACCUCGGUAGUGUUAUAGCUUAUUGGAAUACUGCUAGCUGGGAUUGAGGACUGCGCUUCGGCAAGGAUGUUGGCAUAAUGGUUAAAUGCCGCCCGUCUUG